CAAGUCGAGCGAACGGACGAGAAGCUUGCUUCUCUGAUGUUAGCGGCGGACGGGUGAGUAACACGUGGAUAACCUACCUAUAAGACUGGGAUAACUUCGGGAAACCGGAGCUAAUACCGGAUAAUAUUUUGAACCGCAUGGUUCAAAAGUAAAAGACGGUCUUGCUGUCACUUAUAGAUGGAUCCGCGCUGCAUUAGCUAGUUGGUAAGGUAACGGCUUACCAAGGCAACGAUGCAUAGCCGACCUGAGAGGGUGAUCGGCCACACUGGAACUGAGACACGGUCCAGACUCCUACGGGAGGCAGCAGUAGGGAAUCUUCCGCAAUGGGCGAAAGCCUGACGGAGCAACGCCGCGUGAGUGAUGAAGGUCUUCGGAUCGUAAAACUCUGUUAUUAGGGAAGAACAUAUGUGUAAGUAACUGUGCACAUCUUGACGGUACCUAAUCAGAAAGCCACGGCUAACUACGUGCCAGCAGCCGCGGUAAUACGUAGGUGGCAAGCGUUAUCCGGAAUUAUUGGGCGUAAAGCGCGCGUAGGCGGUUUUUUAAGUCUGAUGUGAAAGCCCACGGCUCAACCGUGGAGGGUCAUUGGAAACUGGAAAACUUGAGUGCAGAAGAGGAAAGUGGAAUUCCAUGUGUAGCGGUGAAAUGCGCAGAGAUAUGGAGGAACACCAGUGGCGAAGGCGACUUUCUGGUCUGUA
rnacentral:rRNA from 1 species